AGGAUUAGGAUAUCCAUUUACCCAUCUCACCUGAACUUAUAUAUAGAAAAAUAUAAGAGAGAAAUAGUCAAUUUUUUUUUGUGAUGUGUUUUUCGAUAUUUCUCCAAAUAUUUGGUGGGUUAGACAAAAAUUUUAUCGAGUGAAAGAUGAACCUGGAAUUGCAAGGUACAAUUUUGCCUCAAAUUCGUGCCGAAAUUCCUCCUACAAUCAAAUCGAGUAAUACCCAUAUUGGCAACCUUAAAAUCCCAUCAACUUUUGGAGAAAGCUUUUCUAAUUCAUGUUCAAGAUGGAAAUCACUAGAAGUACAUUGCAACAAUAGUCAGAGUACAGAGCAGUCUGCUGCGUCAACUAGUGACAGUCAGAGGCUACCUGAGCUUUCUUUCAACAGGUUGCAACCUAGUGACAACGAUUGUGAUGGAUUGCUAAGGCGUCUUUUUGGUCGGUUUCUUGCUCGUGAAGCUGUUCUUGAUGAAGAAUACUGGACAGCGGCAUGGUUGCGGGCAGAAGCGCAUUGGGAAUCUGUAUCAGACGUGCGGCACAUUGAUGCAUUUAAAAGGAAGUAUGCAGAACAGGAGUUCUAUGCUCUCAAAAGGCGAUGCUCUGGACUGGAUGGAAAUUCCCUUAAGUGCUUCUGUCUAGUUGCAGUGAAGGAGGAGAAAAAUGUCAGGAGAACUGUGCUAAACAGUGUUGUUGGAACAUUAGACUUGAGCAUACGGCAAUUUUUGAGAGGGGAAACAUAUCCGGGGGAGGUAAAGAGGUCUUCAAGAUUCUUGGCAAGUCAGGAGCCCUUUGAUGCUCAUAAGUAUGCAUAUAUUGCUAAUGUUUGUGUUACCAAAUUUGCUCGACGCCAGGGUAUUGCUUCCAAUUUGCUCCAUUUGGCCACUGAUGUUGCUAUUGCAUCUGGAAUGAAGCAACUAUAUGUUCAUGUAAAUCUAGACAACAAGGCUGCUCAAGAAUUAUACACUAAAGCUAAUUUUAAGAUUGUGCAGGCUGCCUCUUCCGCUUUCUUACAAAAUCAGAGGCUUCUAAUGGUGAAGGUGCUAUGAGCCUUCAAAGAUUCCAUACAAAUUCAUAUCCAACAUCAACGUGUAUAUGUGUUUUAUAACAUUCACUUAAAAGACAACCCCAUUCUUCCCUAUGACAUGAUGACCGAGACUUUUAUUAUUCUUGGAAGGGAGGUGAUCAAGCUCAUUGAGAACCUUGGUGAUGUCGAGCACAAGCCGCUCGGCGAGAGUCCUGGAAAAGUCUUCCCGAACCACAACACGAAGCACUGUUACAUGCUGUGCAUCAGCUGGCAUGGUGUAGGCUGGAACAAUCCACCCAAAUCUUCUUAGCAUCUCUGAAACCUCAAACUCGUUAUGUAGGGUAUUGUCUUUAAGAGAGAAGGCCACUAAAGGAACACCAUUAUCUUUAGACGCAAUUGUGAAUCUCCCUGUCUUUUUUAGGCCCGUCUUCAAUACCAUAGCAUUUUCUUGGCAGUUCUCCAUCACAUUCCGGUAUCCUUCAAAGCCAAGGCGGAUCAACUGAUAAUACUGAGCAAUGACUUGACUGGAUCCUGCACACCAAAUAAUCUAGUGAGGAUCCUGCUGCUAGCUGGAGGCUCAUAAAAGAUAAAAAGAAGGUAGAGUACAGGCGGUAACUAAACAUGCAAGCUAAAAUGUUCUGGGAUAAUUACAACCACAUUGAGAAUGCUAGUACUUUGUGGGAGAUUUUGUUGUAGACUGGAGCAUGACUUUGAAUUAUCCACCUCGAAAAUCCAAAGUGGAACUUAUGGAACAAGAAAAACAUGCUUUAUAAUGAAUUUUAGGAGUUUACCUUUGGAGAAGUUGAGAGUGAAGGUAGGCUGGUCAGUUCCUAGGUAGUUGAUAUGGAAAAUGAGCUCUUCAGGCAAGUCUUCCUUGCUCCUCCAAAUGACCCAACCAAUGCCAGCAUAAACAAGACCAUAUUUAUGGCCACUGACAUUUAUGCUCUUCACCAGGGGAAGCCUGAAGUCCCAUUCUAGCUCUGGGUAAAGGAAGGGUGCAAUAAAUCCUCCACUUGCUGCAUCCACAUGUAUAGGAGUAUCCCACCUGCCAACUUUAUGCGCCCGUGACGAUGUUGGGCUUCUCAUAAGGUAAGCCUUGAGCCUUGCGCUUGUUCUGCCAUCUCCUCUUGAAAGCGAGCCCGGCUAGCAUUAUAGCCUCGGAUGAGCCUACUGUUCCUACUCCGACAGCUGCUUCUGAGUCUUCAAGUGGAGCGUUGAACAGCCUUGCUAUCAUGUUCACACAUCUAUUCUGCUUGCGUCAAUGUAAAACAAUUAUGUUAAUAUUGUGAAGUUACACCAUUAAUCCUGCAUAACUUUCUUAGUCCAGAGACCAUUGGAUUAGUGUGUCAAUAUCAUAUGAAAAUGAUGAUCCUGCAUAACAGUUAUUUUUCGCUCUUCACAAUUGUCCACUUUUUCUUAGGAACUGGUGCACUGUUCUUUUCAGCCAAAAACUUGUAUGUGGCGGAUGUUUUUAUUUAUUUACGAAGGCUUCUUUGAUUGGA